rnacentral:rRNA from 1 species
AUUGAACGCUGGCGGCAUGCCUUACACAUGCAAGUCGAACGGCAGCACGGGGCAACCUGCCGACGAGUGGCGAACGGGUGAGUAAUGCAUCGGAACGUACCUUUCAGUGGGGGAUAACGUAGCGAAAGUUACGCUAAUACCGCAUAUUCUGUGAGCAGGGAAGCAGGGGAUCGCAAGACCUUGCGCUGAUUGAGCGGCCGAUGUCAGAUUAGCUAGUUGGUGAGGUAAAGGCUCACCAAGGCGACGAUCUGUAGCGGGUCUGAGAGGAUGAUCCGCCACACUGGGACUGAGACACGGCCCAGACUCCUACGGGAGGCAGCAGUGGGGAAUUUUGGACAAUGGGGGCAACCCUGAUCCAGCCAUGCCGCGUGAGUGAAGAAGGCCUUCGGGUUGUAAAGCUCUUUCGGCCGGGAAGAAAUCGCACAGGCUAAUACCUUGUGUGGAUGACGGUACCGGAAUAAGAAGCACCGGCUAACUACGUGCCAGCCGCCGCGGUAAGAC